rnacentral:lncRNA from 1 species
UCACAGCCGCUCAGACAUCUCAGAGCCUCGUCCCAGGCAGGACCAAGGCUGCAGUACCCUGGGAAUGAGUGUGCCAUGGCCUGGCCCCUGGGGUGGCCACCGGGCCAGGAGCCCACGGCACUGCAUACAGCCAGAGCUGUCCCUCGCGGAGCCCAGGCUUUUACGGCAAAAUUGCCUUACGGCCAAUUAGUGAUGCUGGAAAAACGCUUGCGGCGGCAAAGAUGCCUCCGGCAAAGAUGCUUCUGGCGAAAAUACCUGACAGGUCCUGGCCAGACUUGAGGGAUGCAGGGUGUGUGUUCCCCCGUCUGGGAGAAAGAACGGGAUAGUUCACCUGUACCUGUUUGCUCGCCUCCCCAUUUUCCUGAAAUCUCUUGAACGCCGGCUGGGUGUGUGCUCGCUCUUUUCCAGCUCUGAGCCCCACCGUAAACCUCGGUAAGUGCUGCUGGAGCCAAAAGGCAUGGGCUGUGGAGUCAGACGAAGUUGGAUUCAAAUCCUGGCAU